rnacentral:rRNA from 1 species
CGUGAGGAACCUGCCUCGGAGUGGGGAAUAACACAACGAAAGCUGUGCUAAUACCGCAUGAUACAGUUGGGUCGCAUGACUCUGACUGUCAAAGAUUUAUCGCUCUGAGAUGGCCUCGCGUCUGAUUAGCUAGUUGGUGGGGUAACGGCCCACCAAGGCGACGAUCAGUAGCCGGACUGAGAGGUUGACCGGCCACAUUGGGACUGAGACACGGCCCAG